rnacentral:rRNA from 1 species
GACGUAGGGCGCGAGCGUUGUCCGGAUUUAUUGGGCGUAAAGAGCGUGUAGGCGGCCAGGCAGGUCCGUUGUGAAAACUCGAGGCUCAACCUCGAGACGUCGGCGGAAACCAUCUGGCUAGAGUCCGGAAGAGGAGAGUGGAAUUCCUGGUGUAGCGGUGAAAUGCGCAGAUAUCAGGAAGAACACCCGUGGCGAAGGCGGCUCUCUGGGACGGUACUGACGCUGAGACGCGAAAGCGUGGGGAGCGAACAGG